rnacentral:rRNA from 1 species
AUUGAACGCUGGCGGCAGGCCUAACACAUGCAAGUCGAACGAGUGGCGGACGGGUGAGUAAUGUCUGGGAAACUGCCCGAUGGAGGGGGAUAACUUCUGGAAGCGGUAGCUAAUACCGCAUACCAUCGGAUGUGCCCAGAUGGGAUUAGUUAGUAGGUGGGGUAACGGCUACCCUAGGCGACGAUCCCUAGCUGGUCUGAGAGGAUGACCAGCCACACUGGAGAGGAUGCACGGUCCAGAUGCGUACGUGAGACAGCAGAGGGGAAUAUGGCACAAUGGGGGGAGGCCUGAUGCGGCCAUGCCGCGUGUAUGAAGAAGGCCUUCGGGGUGUAAAGUGCUUUCCUUCAGGAUGCGUUACUCGCAGAAGAAGCAACGGCUAACUCCGUGCCAGCAGCCGCGGUAAUAC